CCCCCCCAAUUAUCGUUCUGGCUACGCCACUGUUUUGAAAACCAAUAAAAAAAACGUGUUCGUACUACAGGGUGUCCCAAAAAACCCAAAACGAUUGAAAUAAGAGGGUGGGAAAGGGUAUUUUCGUGAGCCGUGAAUGGUGAACAUUUGUUCUUGUGAAAUGUGAAAUACUUGAUUUUAGUGUCGUGAAAUGUGAUUUGUUCUACAGCCGUGAGGCGUGAUUGUUGAUAAAAAUGCUCCGUGAAAUGAGAAUUAAGGAUGCCUGUUUCGUGAACUGUGAUUAUUAUAGUGAUUAUUAUAAUAAAUAUGAUACGCGAUAAUCAAAUUUAUAUGAUCUCACUCGAUUGCACAAGAGUAAAAACUUCGGAGGCCUUUCGCGAGGUUCCUGGCGCUGAGGACAAGGUUCCUGGCGCUGAGGACAAGGUUCCUGGCGCUGAGGACGAGGUUUCUGGGGGUGAGGACAAGGUUCAUGGCGGUGAGGACAAGGUUCCUGGCGGUGAGGACAAGGUUCCUGGCGAUGAGGACAAGGUUCCUGGCGGUGAGGACAAGGUUUCUGGCGCUGAGGACGAGGUUCCUGGCGGUGAGGACAAGGUUCCUGGGGGUGAGGACAAGGUUCCUGGCGGUGAGCACAAGGUUCCUGGCGCUGAGGACAAGGUUCCUGGCGCUCAGGACAAGGUUCCUGGCGGCGAGGACAAGGUUCCUGGCGGUGAGGACAAGGUUCCUGGCGUUGAGGACAAGGUUCCUGGCGUUGAGGACAAGGUUCCUGGCGUUGAGGACAAGGUUCCUGGCGCUGAGGACGAGGUUCCUGGCGGUGAGGACGAGGUUCCUGGCGGUGAGGACGAGGUUCCUGGCGGUGAGGACAAGGUUCCUGGCGAUGAGGACAAGGUUCCUGGCGCUGAGGACAAGGUUCCUGGAGGUGAGGACAAGGUUCCUGCCGCUGAGAACAAGGUUUCUGCCGGUGAGGACAAGGUUUCUGCUGGUGAGGACAAGGUUCCUGGCGCUGAGGACGAGGUUCCUGGCGGUGAGGACGAGGUUCCUGGCGGUGAGGACGAGGUUCCUGGGGGUGAGGACAAGGUUCCUGGCGAUGAGGACAAGGUUCCUGGCGCUGAGGACAAGGUUCCAGAAGGUGAGGACAAGGUUCCUGCCGCUGAGAACAAGGUUUCUGCCGGUGAGGACAAGGUUUCUGCUGGUGAGGACAAGGUUCCUGGCGUUGAGGACAAGGUUCCUGGCGCUGAGGACGAGGUUCCUGGCGGUGAGGACGAGGUUCCUGGGGGUGAGGACAAGGAUCCUGGCGAUGAGGACAAGGUUCCUGGCGCUGAGGACAAGGUUCCAGGAGGUGAGGACAAGGUUCCUGCCGCUGAGAACAAGGUUUCUGCCGGUGAGGACAAGGUUUCUGCUGGUGAGGACAAGGUUCCUGGCGCUGAGGACAAGGUUUCUGGCGCUGAGGACGAGGUUCCUGGCGGUGAGGACGAGGUUCCUGGGGGUGAGGACAAGGUUCCUGGCGAUGAGGACAAGGUUCCUGCCGCUGAGGACAAGGUUCCUGCUGGUGAGGACAAGGUUUCCGCCGGUGAGGACAAGGUUCCUGGCGGUGAGGACAAGGUUCC
rnacentral:lncRNA from 1 species